rnacentral:rRNA from 1 species
UCUACGGAAUAACCCAGGGAAACUUGGAUUAAUACCGUAUACGUCCGAGAGGAGAAAGAUUUAUCGGAGUUGGAUGAGCCCGCGUUGGAUUAGCUAGUUGGUGGGGUAAUGGCCUACCAAGGCGACGAUCCAUAGCUGGUCUGAGAGGAUGAUCAGCCACACUGGGACUGAGACACGGCCCAGACUCCUACGGGAGGCAGCAGUGGGGAAUAUUGGACAAUGGGCGAAAGCCUGAUCCAGCCAUGCCGCGUGAGUGAUGAAGGCCCUAGGGUUGUAAAGCUCUUUCACCGGUGAAGAUAAUGACGGUAACCGGAGAAGAAGCCCCGGCUAACUUCGUGCCAGCAGCCGCGGUAAUACGAAGGGGGCUAGCGUUGUUCGGAAUUACUGGGCGUAAAGCGCACGUAGGCGGAUAUUUAAGUCAGGGGUGAAAUCCCAGAGCUCAACCCUGGAACUGCCUUUGAUACUGGGUAUCUCGAGUCCG